rfam:Myotis lucifugus cont2.58476, whole genome shotgun sequence.
GAGACACCCUCAUGGGGCACGACCUGCUUCAGUGGGGCUUUGGUGCUCACUGGUUCUGCCCCUUGAGUGGGUCUCU